rnacentral:rRNA from 1 species
AACGGCCGUACCAUGGUGAAUAUACCGGUUCUCGUUAGAUCACCGAAGUUAAGCAUCAUUGGGCGCGGUCAGUACUUGGGUGGGUGACCACUUGGGAACACUGCGUGCCGUU